ACCCAUGAACCUGGUGCUCAGCUCCUUUCUCUCUUUCAUUCAGUCCAGGAUGCCAGCCUAUGUAAUGGAGCUGCCCACAAUUAGCGGCCAGUGUUUCUACAGGGAUCCUACUCUGGGCUGAUGACUCAGAGACCAUGGUGAGGAUGCUUCCCCAGGGCUGCAGGAAGAAGCCAUUGCUAAGGAAAUGAAGAGUCUUCAUUCUUUUCCCGAUGAUCAGUCACAGUGGUGACAGGGAACACAGACAGGAAUUAAUGAGGCCGAGGUUAACAGGGGCCACACUGCUGUGCUGCUCUUAUGCCACACCUAGA